UACAGAGGUCUCAAGCGUUGUUCGGAUUCAUUGGGCGUAAAGGGUGCGUAGGCGGCGCGGUAAGUCGGGUGUGAAAUCUCGGAGCUUAACUCCGAAACUGCAUUUGAUACUGGCGUGCUUGAGGACUGGAGAGGAGACUGGAAUUCAUGGUGUAGCAGUGAAAUGCGUAGAGAUCAUGAGGAAGACCGGUGGCGAAGGCGGCAUCCUGGACCGACACUGACGCUGAGGAGCGAAAGCCAGGGGAGCAAACAGG
rnacentral:rRNA from 1 species